CUCACAAAGACACCGAACAUCACCGUGUGUCUUCAUGAGCCACCAACCAGACAGAAACGAGAACCAAACAAAUUUUGAUUGAAUUUUAUCAUUUACGUAAAUCCUCUUUACAUAUCUAUCUCAAACAAACGAACAUUUAAAUAUAGAUUUUUUUUAAAUCCAUUAUACGCAUCAUGAUUAAUCCAGGGAACCAAACAGGCUCCAACUCCCAACAAAUGCGUCCCCUGCUUCAUUAACGAGUGGCCCACCUCAACUUUCUAAACUCAACGUCUCCAACCAAUAAGCAAGCUCCACGUGAACACCAACAACAUGCAAACCCCACAAUCAAAAUCAUUCCUCAUUCUGACCAAGUCAUCUCCGAUCACCAACAGCCCAAACCUCCGACCGAGUCCCCAGUCAUCCCCUCCUUCGUUCUCUAUCGAAUGGCUAAACUCCCUACGUCCAUAACGUAGUCUUCCUCCUCCAUCGGCGGCAAUCGCUAUGACCAGAGGUGAGAAAGAUGGGUAUCCUCCCAUUUUCUCCCUCAUCAUCUUCUUCUCCUCUGCGGCCCUUGUCCCCCAAGCCCGCGCACUCUCCUCUCCUACCGACGCCAACUCUCAACCGACCAUCAAGUUCACACCGACUGAUAACUAUCUGAUAAGCUGUGGCUCCCCAAAUACCGACAGACUCAACGAUGGUCGCACAUUCAAAUCCGACGCCCAGUCUCUCUCCUCCCUCUCCACCAAAGACAACAUCAAGAUUGUUGACACCAACACCAAUGCCAAUGACUCCAUCCCUCCGUUGUAUUCAUCCGCUAGAGUUUUCACCGACCUCUCCACAUACAAAUUCACCACCACACCCGGCCACCACUGGGUCCGCCUCCAUUUUUACCCGUUGCCGGACCCCACCCACAAUAUGAGCUCAGCCAAGUUCACUGUCAAUACCGAUGAUAUUGUCCUACUACGCGACUUUUCCAUUUCCGCCACCACACCGCUCAUCAAAGAGUACCUCAUUGUCUCCAAGGAUGGAGUAUCCCUCAAUUUCGCCCCCAGCAAAGGAUCCAUCGCAUUCAUCAACGCCAUUGAAUUAGUCAGCGCCCCUGAUAGCCUCAUCCACAGCACCGCCAAGGCUAUCUCUCCCGAAGGGGAAUUUUCCGGGAUCUCCAACUAUGCACUCGAGGUCACCCACCGGCUUAAUGUGGGAGGUCCCGAGAUUCAAUCGGCUAAUGACACGUUGGCUAGAACGUGGCGGUCUGAUACUGAGUUCUUAAAACUCCCUCAAUCAGCAAAGAGUGUGCUUGUUCUUCCGAAGACUAUAAAAUACCCUAGCGAUGGCUCUGUUACUGAUCUUGAUGCUCCGAGCUUGGUGUAUUCGACUGCGGUGGAGAUGGGUAAUUCUAAUGUGUCUCAACCCAAUUUUAAUAUUACAUGGGAAGUUCCUAGCAAUCCAGAAUUCUCGUAUCUGAUCCGUAUGCAUUUUUGCGAUAUUGUAAGCAAGAACCUUAAUAGCCUAUAUUUCAAUGUUUACCUCAAUGGAAUGACGGUGGUUUCAAGUCUCGACCUAUCUACGCUGACUACUGGCCUUGCAGUCGCUUACAUGAAGGAUUUUGUGGUCAAUGCAUCCACCAUAGUUAACUCAACCAUCCUUGUUCAGGUGGGUGUAGUUCCUGGAUCAAGCUCUGGAAACCCUAAUGCCAUCCUCAAUGGCCUCGAGGUCAUGAAGAUGAGCAACUUGGCGGGGAGCUUGGACGGUGCUUAUGCAGUUGACGGCUCGUACCAUGGCAAUGAGGUUAAAAAGAGUCGGACAAAGAAGAUUGUAGCAGGUGUGGGCAUUACAAUGGGCGCGAUUGCACUUGCCUUGUUUGGCUUUAUGUUCCUUCAAUGGAGGAAACAACACUUGGAGAAGAAGAGGAAUAGCUUCUCAUCAUGGCUCCUGCCAGUGCACACUAACAACUCAAAUUUAGCAAGCAAUUCCACAAAGGGGAGCUCAAGACACAAGUUUGGAUCUCGUAAGAGUAGUAGACAAGGGCACACAAGUUAUUUCGCAGCAAAUGGCCUUGGUAUCGGCAGAUACUUCAGCCUUGCCGAACUACAAGAAGCAACGAAGAAUUUCGAUGAGAAUGCAGUAAUUGGAGUGGGAGGGUUCGGAAAAGUAUAUAUUGGAGAGCUUGAAGAUGGGACAAAGUUGGCUGUGAAACGUGGCAAUCCAUCAUCAGAUCAAGGGAUCAAUGAAUUCCAUACAGAGAUAGAAAUGCUCUCGAAGCUAAGGCAUCGCCACCUAGUCUCCCUCAUUGGAUGCUGCGAUGAGAACUCAGAGAUGAUACUGGUGUAUGAAUUCAUGGCAAAUGGUCCUCUAAGAGAUCACCUCUACGGAAGCACUUCACAUACUCCACUCUCUUGGAAACAACGGUUAGAAGCAUGCAUUGGAGCAGCAAGGGGGUUACACUACCUCCAUACCGGUGCAGCACAGGGGAUCAUCCAUCGCGAUGUCAAGACCACCAACAUUCUGCUCGAUGAAAACCUUGUUGGAAAAAUGGCAGACUUUGGCUUGUCCAAGACAGGCCCUUCACUUCAACAAACCCAUGUGAGCACUGCAGUGAAAGGGAGCUUCGGGUAUUUAGACCCAGAAUAUUUCCGCUCACAACAGCUUACUGACAAAUCUGAUGUCUACUCCUUUGGUGUGGUACUCUUUGAGGUACUAUGUGCAAGGCCAGCCAUUAUUCCCACACUCCCAAGAGACCAGGUGAAUUUGGCUGAGUGGGCAAUGCAAUCGAACAGAAAAGGACAGUUGGAGAAGAUCAUUGAUCCAAAUCUGGUCGGCAAAAUUAGCCCAGCUUCAUUAAAGAAGUUCGUGGAGGCUGCUGAGAAGUGUGUAGCUGAGCAUGGAGUGGAUCGUCCAACGAUGGGCGAUGUGUUGUGGAACCUUGAGUAUGCCUUGCAGCUUCAAGAGGCUUCUAUAGGACAGCAUAGUGAUGAGCCUUCUGGUGAUAGUUCCAGGCAUCUAGUACUGGAAAGCCCAGAGCGUGAGGAAGGAAACUUGGCCACCAUCAACGAAUCUGAGGAGUCACCAAUUUUAGUGCCUGCACCACUGUUUCAAGGAAGAUGAACCUAACUGGGUUUCCCAAAGCCUCUUAACUUCAUUUUGUGCGCACAUGAAAAAGAUACUAAUUUCCAAUGUCUGAAGAAAUAUCUUCUUGAUGGAGAGUUUAUCAGGUCGGAAGAUGGUGGUUUUACGCUAGAUCCAAUUCCCAAUUUCUGAAGAAAUAUCUUCUUAAUGGAGUUUAUCAGGUCAGAGAAUGGUGGUUUUACGCUGCUCCUAACAUAGAUUCAUUAUCAUCCCUUCGCUUGAGAACAGGAUUUACCAUUCACCCAAUCCUACUUCAUGAUGUAAAGGAUUGGAGGCAAUCUUCUCCUCAGUUUGGUGAGCCAUAUUUGUAAAUCAGUAAUUAACUGUAAUAUCAUCUGAGAUCCUGUAUUUACUAAGCUUACUCAUAUGGUACUGUAGCAGGUUGUUGUAGGGCAUUUUAAUUCCUUGUAGAAAUAACACUAGUAAAUUCUUAUUGGAUAUGGGCAGCAUUCUCCUUGACAGACACAAAAAAUCAUGGGGGCUUUUUGCCUUUAAACCCUAAGUUUCACCCCCAUUAUUUUUAAACCACUUAUUCUAUCUAUACCAACACACCUAAAAUACUUUUCCUUUUUAUCUUUACACCCAAAAAAUUAAGUACACCUUACUUCAAUAAAGUAUUUACACAAAAGCAAGGUUGCUGAUAGCGGAUCGCGGCGCGUCGCGGCGAGGUACCGCUAAGGCUAUAUCGGGCUAUUGCGACGAAAUCGCGGCAAAUAGCGCACAAUCAAAUAGCGGUCAAAUUUAAAUAUAUUUAAAUAUCCUAAAUAAUAAGAAAAUUCAUAAAAAAAUCUAAAAAUUCAAUUAGUUGUAAAUUUCUUGUAUUAUCAAUAAAUAACAAUUAAUAAGCUUGUUGUAUGAAUGAAACUAUGAAGAAAUUCAAGAAAUAUAGCAUCAUAAUAUGUGUGAUAGCGGGUUUAGCGGGUUUAGCCGCUUUUAACAACAAAAAUCCGCUUUUAACCAUGAAAAUCCGUUUUUAACCGCGACAACCCGCUUUUAACCGCGAAAACCGCUUUUAACCCGCUAAAAUCCGUUUUUACGCGCUAUUCGAAUGAAUAGCGGAUUUUCCCGCUUAAGCCAGCCGCGAAACCUCUACGCGUAGCGCUGAAGGGCCGCGACCGCUAUUCGCGCCGCUAUAGCCCCGCUAUUGACCGCUAUUUACAACACUGCACAAAAGUAAAAUUAAAAACCCCGAAAUGCCCUUCUCUUCCUCCUCUCUUAACCCAAAACUCAUUCUUCUGCUUCUCACCCUCUCUACAGGCUCAACCUCUUUGUGGAACUUACAGAAGUUGGUGGCGAUGGAACUUAUAGAAGAUGGUGUCAACUGUGGAGGGAGGGCGUCAUUUAAGUGAAGAGAAUAGGCUUUUUCUGUUAGUGAAAAGAAGAAUAAGGGUAAUUUGGGUAUUUUGUUUAUUAAAGAAUACAAUAUAUUAUUUAUGUAAAUACUUGUAUUUAUACUAUUGGGUUUAAAGAUGUAUACUGAUGGUAUUUUGGGUUUAUGA